rnacentral:rRNA from 1 species
GGGCCCGCACAAGCAGUGGAGUAUGUGGUUUAAUUCGAAGCAACGCGAAGAACCUUACCAGGAAUUGACAUCCCUCGCAAUCUGUUGAAAGACAGAGUUCCCUCGGGACGGGGAGACAGGUGGUGCAUGGUUGUCGUCAGCUCGUGUCGUGAGAUGUUGGGUUAAGUCCCGCAACGAGCGCAACCCUUGUUGUUAGUUGCCAUCAGGUAAAGCUGGGCACUCUAACGAGACUGCCGGUGACAAAUCGGAGGAAGGUGGGGAUGACGUCAAAUCAUCAUGCCCCUUAUGUUCUGGGCUACACACGUACUACAAUGGCUGUUACAGAGGGGAGCGAAACCGCAAGGCAGAGCCAAUCCCAAAAAACAGUCUCAGUUCGGAUUGUGGGCUGAAACCCGCCCGCAUGAAGUCGGAAUUGCUAGUAAUGGCAGGUCAUCAUACUGCCGUGAAUACGUUCCCGGGCCUU